GAACGCUGGCGGCGUGCUUAACACAUGCAAGUCGAACGGAAAGGCCCUGCUUUUGUGGGGUGCUCGAGUGGCGAACGGGUGAGUAACACGUGAGUAACCUGCCCUUUACUUUGGGAUAACUUCAGGAAACUGGGGCUAAUACCGGAUAGGAGCUCCUGCUGCAUGGUGGGGGUUGGAAAGUUUCGGCGGUUGGGGAUGGACUCGCGGCUUAUCAGCUUGUUGGUGGGGUAGUGGCUUACCAAGGCUUUGACGGGUAGCCGGCCUGAGAGGGUGACCGGCCACAUUGGGACUGAGAUACGGCCCAGACUCCUACGGGAGGCAGCAGUGGGGAAUAUUGCACAAUGGGCGGAAGCCUGAUGCAGCAACGCCGCGUGCGGGAUGACGGCCUUCGGGUUGUAAACCGCUUUCGCCUGUGACGAAGCGUGAGUGACGGUAAUGGGUAAAGAAGCACCGGCUAACUACGUG
rnacentral:rRNA from 1 species